AUUGAACGCUGGCGGCAUGCCUUACACAUGCAAGUCGAACGGCAGCACGGGAGCAAUCCUGGUGGCGAGUGGCGAACGGGUGAGUAACGCAUCGGAACGUGCCCAGUCGUGGGGGAUAGCCCGGCGAAAGCCGGAUUAAUACCGCAUACGACCUAUGGGUGAAAGCGGGGGACCGAAAGGCCUCGCGCGAUUGGAGCGGCCGAUGUCAGAUUAGGUAGUUGGUGGGGUAAAGGCCCACCAAGCCGACGAUCUGUAGCUGGUCUGAGAGGACGACCAGCCACACUGGGACUGAGACACGGCCCAGACUCCUACGGGAGGCAGCAGUGGGGAAUUUUGGACAAUGGGCGCAAGCCUGAUCCAGCCAUGCCGCGUGCGGGAAGAAGGCCUUCGGGUUGUAAACCGCUUUUGUCGGGGAAGAAAUGCUCCGGGAUAAUACCCUGGGGAGAUGACGGUACCCGAAGAAUAAGCACCGGCUAACUACGUGCCAGCAGCCGCCGUAACAC
rnacentral:rRNA from 1 species